rnacentral:rRNA from 1 species
GAUGAACGCUGGCGGCGUGCCUAAUACAUGCAAGUAGAACGCUGAAGGAGGAGCUUGCUCUUCUGGAUGAGUUGCGAACGGGUGAGUAACGCGUAGGUAACCUGCCUGGUAGCGGGGGAUAACUAUUGGAAACGAUAGCUAAUACCGCAUGACAACAGUUAUUGCAUGAUAACUGUUUAAAAGGGGCAACUGCUCCACUACCAGAUGGACCUGCGUUGUAUUAGCUAGUUGGUGAGGUAACGGCCCACCAAGGCGAAGAUACAUAGCCGACCCGGGAGGGAGAUUGGCCAACCCUGGACUGAGGAACGGCCCAGAAUUCUUCGGGAAGCAGGCGUAGGGGAACUUCGGCAAUGGACGGAAGGCUGACUGCGGAACGCCGGGGGAGUGAAGAAGGUUUUCGGAUCGUAAAGCUCUGUUGUAAGAGAAGAAAGAGUGUGAGAGUGGAACGUUCACGCUGUGACGGUACCGUAACAGAAAGCGACGGCUAACUACGUG